GUGAAGGCUGAUUCCCCUGUUGCACAAGCUCGCAGUUUCACCAAGAACUGAUCAAUUGCUUCAGCUGUCUCUGGAGUCACUUUCUAGAAGGGCCUGAAGUUCAUCAGCUGCUCUACGUACUCUGAUUGCUAGCUAGCGGGAUUUGGGCAUGUGCAAAAUGGCUGCACCCAUAUCGGCACCAUAGCAUUGCUAGAGUAACAAACAAUUAUCCUCUGAAUGAUGCUGUAGAGACUGUUGGUGAAAUUGGAUCGUGAAUUGGACGAGCUAUGGGAGGAACAAGUGGGAUCAUGUAUUCUUCCAUUGUUAUGUAUUCCAUAAACUAUAGUAUUUAUGUUAUCUGAUUAUUAUCACUUUCACACUUGAUUGUAUAUUUUUUUUUCCAGAUAUACAAUUUUAU